AUAAUAAGCAUUAUCCCACAGUUCUGCCUUUUAAUGUGGCAUAGCCAUAUUCGCUUAUAAUUUUUAUUCUACACAUAUCACUGCUUCUCAGUGUGUACAUACUGGGGAAGGGGGUCAUUUUGACCCAGAAGGAUUUUUGAAUCAUCAAAUAUUUUCAAAUCGAAGGUUUUUCUAGUCUAGCUUCAUUCAGAUGAGCGUUGUGCAUCGAAGUUCAAGUCCCAAGAGAUGUUAUCAGUCGGAACGGCCGAGUGAACAAAUAUUUGUGAACCUCCUUCCAAAUGAAAUGUUCUAUAGAAGGGUGGAAGUGGUAAGAGACCGUUGAAACAGUGGUUAAGAAGGUUAUAUUUAUUUGGCCAUCAGCUCGUCUCAUGGUCUGAAGGAUGAUGAUGAUGAGGAAGAGGAGGAAGAAGAGAAGAUGAGGAACUUUUCCAAAAUAGGCAGUUUAACUCAUAAUAGACCCAAUUUCUAAAUACGAGGUUGGACUACGUCAUCUCUAAACGCAACCACUGGUCUGAAAAUAUGAGCUGUGUCAUAGAUACGGAGAACAAACAGGUGGUUGCCAAAGGAUGGGGGGAUUGGGCAAAAGAGGUGAAGGGGAUUCAGGGCCCCAAACUUCCAGUUAUAACAUAAAAAAGUCACAGAGAUAUAAUGUAAAGUCAGGGGGAAAUACAGUCAAUAUUGCAAUAACUGUGUAUGGUGGCCAAUGGUCCCCAGAUUUACAAGUGUGGGAAUCAACUCGGGUAAUGUACACAAAUGUCAAAUCACUAUACUGUACUCAAAACUCAUGUAAGCCACUACAUUCGUGGUAAACCACUAGUGUAAAACUAGUGCACACCACCACUACACUGCCGUAGUGGUUGAGUUUCAAUAAAAGUUAUGUGCAUCAACUCUAUUUCAACAAAAAAUUAAAAGUAACAAAACAAGGUAACAUUAUGAGAUUCAUUACACCUGGGCUUUAAUUUCCAAUUUUGGUUUAAUAUGUAUGACCUAACUUUAAAAAUCAGUUUACAGACAGACUAUCCUAAGGGCAAACAGUCCAACAAGACUUGCUCCAAUUCAAAGAAAAUCUUGAUAAGCAUUUUUUUUUCCUUUGUGGUUAUUAUAAAGUAUUUAAGUUCAAUUUUUAAAAAAUCCACUAUACUUGAUUGUCAUUAUUUGAGUCAACAUGUUUCAAGUUAUGUUUCAGAGCACGGUUAGUUGAAACAGCCCAGAUCUUACUCAUCAAAAGACUUGGAAUAUUCACAGAAACUCUGUCACUCAUUAUUUCUCAGAGUUUAAAGAAGUUUAUGAACAUCACUGAGAAUCUGUCUUUUCAGUUUUGAAAGGGAAGUUAUAAUACUGACUUUGAAGUAUCUUGGCCAGUGAAAAAAACGCUACACAUAUAAGUUAUCAAGUGAAAUUAAAAGCUAAAGAAAUAAUAGCUACUAUAAAUAAAAACAUUCACAUUUGUUUAUCUGUGCUCAUUUGUCUUAAUGUUACCAAAAUUUAUUUUUAAAUGUUUUAUUUUAAGAUGUUAUGUUCCUACAUUCCUAAAUCUAUCUCCAUUUUACAUUUUGUUAGGGCUUGCAUGCUAUUUCUUUUUUUUUUUUUAAUUAAAGUAUAGUUGAUUGAC
rnacentral:lncRNA from 1 species